CCCUCCAGAAGAGUCUUCGUAGUGUGAUGUUACGGUGAGCGGCAGUUCUCAGCUCCUGCAGCAGCAGGUACAAACUCUCCACACUGAUCCCAUCCUGCAGCAUCUCAGAGCUCAGCUGACCGAACAGAACAUACACUGUCCUGCUGCCAGAAAUACUCGCUAGAGCACCAACUGUGGAUUAAUCCGCCACUGAAAAUAGUCCCCGACUAAUGAACCAUUUCCACGUGGCACAAAAAACAAACAAAUGUCAUCAAUAUCAGUUAUGGAGGCAGCGACACACAUUACGACUGUUGACUCAACUGGGAAUAGUGACGACUGAUGGGACCAAGUUAAACCAGGUCUGUUCCAGUCUUGGUCAGUUGGCAGUCACAGGUAAAAUCAGAUGGUGUGAUACCAUUGCCAGAUUUUCUUAAACUUGUUCGAUACCUGCGAGUGAGGGAGAUGUACCUGUAAAUAACCAGCUUCACCUGAAGACUGCACUGUUCACUCAGCUCCAGUUCCCUCUGUGUCUAGGAUCUCACCAAACUCUGAGAUUUUUUCCUCCUUUUUUUGACUUUUCAGCACAAACGUCACUGCAUGUAAACAAUACAAGCUGCUGGUUGUUGUCCAUGUUUGAUAAUUAGACUUUUCGUGGGAUUUGAGAGGUUGUCCACUGACCAGAACAGGUUUAUUCUCCUUCCUGACUCUACCUGAAGUUGGUGGAAUCAGUCUUUAUGUGUGGUUUGUUCAGUCUUUGUAGGUUUCAGCUGCUCCUCAGGGUUUGUCCAAAGCUUCAGGAUCAGCGUUAUGUUCUGACGACGACAGCUGUAAAGAUUUUACAGCUCGCAGAGUUUGUCUGUCGCCCUGACUCCCACCUAAGGAAGAGUCUGGAUUUGCUGGAGAGGAGGAAUGCAAAAUCAGACACAUAAAGUUUCCCCAUGAAGGGCAGCUGAAGGCCUAGAGCUGGGAUUUCCAAAGACAAAAUCCUCCUGAAGCCAAUCCUGGAGGAUGACGUAAAGCAUCAGCACGCCAGUGUGGGAGAAUCUGCUCAGACUGGACAAGCCAAGGAAAAUCCAGUGUAAGUCUUGAACCCUUGCCUCUAUAUAAAAACUACACUGAAGCCACAGUGAGGGCAUCACAGGUCACCACAGGCUAUAAUCUGACAGUUUAAUGCAGACAAGAUUAACUCUGUUAAAACCUCUGACCUAUGACAUAACAAGAUGUAGUGGGAAUUAGAAGCUAAUACAGCCACACACAGACUCAGCUUCUCCUGUCUACAUAUUAUGUAGCGUUAUAUUCUGUAGCACUAAGGCUGAAUCUAUUUUAAGCCUCUACUAGUGUAGACCAGGCCAUUCAGUUUAUGUAUAAUCUAAGGAUAACGGUUUCCUUAAGUGUCUAUAUUGGACAGGAAAGGCUGUUUAUUUGUGUUAUGUGAUGCAGUCAGUCUCUCUGCAGGAGGUUUGUGUUGCUGAUAGCAUUUACUGUCUGACACCAGGAAUAUAUUUAGAAAAAAGUUGUCAAAAUAAAUGCAUCAACACCUGAGAUGUUAAAGGUGUUUAAAAGUCAUAUUACCUGAACCUCAGUCGGGUCAUUAGACCACCAGCCACUUCAGGUCAUUAUGUAACAAUGUUCAGUUGUUUUAUAGAGCCACAGCGAGAUUCUGUCAGCAUCUCCCCCUCCCUCUAUCCCAAAAUAAUAUAUCUAACUGUAGAUCACUUAGGCAACCAACAGAAAAAUAAUAAGCACCUAUUUUAAUAAUCAAUUAAUCGUAGCAGUCUUUUUUUUUU